GUCACUUCGGCAGCACAUAUACUAAAAUUGGAACGAUACAGAGAAGAUUAGCAUGGCCCCUGCGCAUGGAUAUCUUUAGAAUCCAUAUAAAAGUACCAUGAUCAG